GAUGAACGCUGGCGGCGUGCCUAAUACAUGCAAGUCGAGCGAACAGACGAGGAGCUUGCUCCUCUGACGUUAGCGGCGGACGGGUGAGUAACACGUGGAUAACCUACCUAUAAGACUGGGAUAACUUCGGGAAACCGGAGCUAAUACCGGAUAAUAUAUUGAACCGCAUGGUUCAAUAGUGAAAGACGGUUUUGCUGUCACGUAUAGAUGGAUCCGCGCCGCAUUAGCUAGUUGGUCAGGUAACGGCUUACCAAGGCGACGAUGCGUAGCCGACCUGAGAGGGUGAUCGGCCACCCUGGAACUGAGACACGGUCCAGACUCCUACGGGAGGCAGCAGUAGGGAAUCUUCCGCAAUGGGCGAAAGCCUGACGGAGCAACGCCGCGUGAGUGAUGACGGUCUUCGGAUCGUAAAACUCUGUUAUUAGGGAAGAACAAAUGUGUAAGUAACUAUGCACGUCUUGACGGUACCUAAUCAGAAAGCCACGGCUAACUACGUG
rnacentral:rRNA from 1 species